GGGCGGAGCCUGUGGAGUUCAUUGAAAGAAGUCGUCAUGAUUUCAAGAUCACUGGAUGCAGAGGACAGUUCACACGGUUGAUGGGCUGCCAGACCUUGCAGACCAGGCCGCUGGUAGUAAAGGGCCCUUGGGCACUGGCCCCACUGGCCCCGUCCGUAAUACACCUAUACUCAUGGCUUUAGACUGGAUCCAGCGCUGUAGAGAUGGUAGAAGCAUUUGAAAGUUAGAAUAUCAUCAGAUUGUUGGUGAACGAGGAGUCAAGAGGGAUCAGACUAAAUAACAGACGACAAACCAGUUUCAUAAUCAGACAACAACAUACAGUAUUUUAUUU